rnacentral:rRNA from 1 species
UACGUAGGGUGCGAGCGUUAAUCGGAAUUACUGGGCGUAAAGCGUGCGCAGGCGGUGAUGUAAGACAGAUGUGAAAUCCCCGGGCUCAACCUGGGAACUGCAUUUGUGACUGCAUCGCUGGAGUGCGGCAGAGGGGGAUGGAAUUCCGCGUGUAGCACUGAAAUGCGUAGAUAUGCGGAGGAACACCGAUGGCGAAGGCAAUCCCCUGGGCCUGCACUGACGCUCAUGCACGAAAGCGUGGGGAGCAAACAGG